rnacentral:misc_RNA from 1 species
GAAAUGCGAUAAGUAGUGUGAAUUGCAGAAUUCAGUGAAUCAUCGAAUCUUUGCACGCACAUUGCGCCCCUUGGUAUUCCAUGGGGCAUGCCUGUUCGAGCGUCAUUUGUACCCUCAAGCUCUGCUUGGUGUUGGGUGUUUGUCCCCGUCUCCGCGCGUGGACUCGCCCCAAAGUGAUUGGCAGCCGGCGUACUGGUCCCGGAGCGCAGCACAUGUCGCGCAAACGAGUGCCUUGGUACGGCGGCGUCCAUAAGCCCCUCUCUCACGCUCUUGACCUCGGAUCAGGUAGGGAUACCCGCUGAACUUAAGC